UAUAUAUUUAUUUAUAUAUAUACGCAGAGACACGCGCGCACGCAUACACAUACACACAUACACACGUGUGAGGAGAACCACCCCCUCCCUCGCAGCACAUCAAGCAACGGACGCGUGCUGGUCAACACGGUCAUACAACAGUAAAUGCAUAUUCCAAAGGAAUCGUGUAUCACUUCGCGAGCUAUCGGACAGAAAAAUUGGCGAUAGCGAUCAACGAGGUACGAGAAGAAGAAAAUACGAAGGAAGAGGAAACGGAAAAGGAUGCAAGCUAGUAGAGGAUCUUUCGAGUUUCUCAAGUAUCAUCAUCAUCAUCAACAUCAUCAUCGUCAUCAUCAUCGUACGAUUGUUCUCCGAUCGAUCGAAUGUCGUAAUUCGCGAUGAUGGCGGAAAGAGACUCGAUGGUUUGUUUAAUUAUCAGAAAGACCAAAGAAGGACCCAAUUAUUUGGAUAACGGCUGUGGAUGUUAGACAAAUGCCAGUUUUUGUUGGGACAACGAACUCCUCGGAAAGAGAAAUUGAAA
rnacentral:lncRNA from 1 species